rnacentral:snoRNA from 1 species
CCAAUUGAUCAAGAUGAUCUUAUUGCCUAUAUUAUUAAUGGUCUUGAUGCAAAUUAGGCUUUAGUCGCCCGGGUUGAACCCAUCAUGGUGACUGAGAUGUAUUCACAUCUUCUGAACUUUGAAA